rnacentral:rRNA from 1 species
UAGGGAAUCUUCCACAAUGGACGCAAGUCUGAUGGAGCAACGCCGCGUGAGUGAAGAAGGUUUUCGGAUCGUAAAGCUCUGUUGUUGGUGAAGAAGGAUAGAGGCAGUAACUGGUCUUUAUUUGACGGUAAUCAACCAGAAAGUCACGGCUAACUACGUGCCAGCAGCCGCGGUAAUACGUAGGUGGCAAGCGUUGUCCGGAUUUAUUGGGCGUAAAGCGAGCGCAGGCGGAAUGAUAAGUCUGAUGUGAAAGCCCACGGCUCAACCGUGGAACUGCAUCGGAAACUGUCAUUCUUGAGUGAAGAAGAGGAGAGUGGAAUUCCAUGUGUAGCGGUGGAAUGCGUAGAUAUAUGGAAGAACACCAGUGGCGAAGGCGGCUCUCUGGUCUGCAAAUGACGCUGAGGCUCGAAAGCAUGGGUAGCGAACAGG